rnacentral:lncRNA from 1 species
AUAAAAGUGCAUCCCUUUAUAGAUUUAAAAAUCUAAGAGGUGUAAAAACUUUGAACCUGGAUUUUUAAAAUUCAUUCAACAAAUUUUUAUUGAGUACCUACUAUGGGCUGGUCUCUGUUUUGGUCAUUAGACAUGUAGCAAGAAAACAAAAAGCAGGAAUCCAUCUGGACAUGAGAGAUGAGAGCUCAGUUCUGGAUACCUACAUGAAGACCAGGCCAUGUCACCUGGGACUGAAAGGUCAAGGAAACAAAAAGAGGAAGUUUCCUGCUCUAGUUCUGGAUCUGGCCAUAGAAUGACUUUUUCUAAAUCUAUUGGAUUUCUUUUUUAAAAUUGUUAAAAAAAUAUGUAAAUAAACAGAGAUACGGAAAAAUAUACAAAACGAACACACAGCUGAAUGCAUUAUCAUUAGACCAUUUGGAUAAAGAAAUAGAUUUAUAUCCAGAACCCUCAAAGAUUCUCCAUGUGCUUCAGACCAUCAGAAUAACAUCCCUCACCACAAAAGUAACCACUUUCAUUUCUUUUAUAGGAGUCACUUUUUUUGUAUUUCUUUAGAGUUUUAUUGCCUAACUAUUCUAGUAACUAGAACAGAACACUGCAAAUAGCACACGCUUACUAAGUUUAACAAGUUAAGUCAUUGAUGUUGCAUUCUCAAGUGUGCAUUGUUAGACACCAUGUUUAGUCUUGCUCAUGUUUAGUUUUAUAAUUUUUUUAUGUUUUGAUGAAUUUGGGGUAUGUCUCUUAAGUCACGAUUUCUCUAUAGUUCCUCCUUCCAUCUCUUACUUUUCAUUGCAAUUUAUUCAUUGAAAAACUAGGCCCAUUUAGCCUGUAUUGUAAUAUUCUUCUAUCCUCUGUACUUCCCACAAUUUGGCAGCUGGAAUCGAGGUUUGAUUGGACUCAGGCUUCGUCCCUCUGGCAACACUACAAGUUGUGUCGUGUUCUUUUAUUAGAAGGUUGCUUUGAUAUACCUCCAUUUCAAGUGUUCCAGAUCCAAGCAGUUGACAGUAGUGAGAAUCAAAGGCCCAAAUAAAGAGAACUAAAUCAUGAUGAUUGUUUUUAAGGAGCGAAACCAAGAGUUUCUCUCUGGUUACCCAGGCUGGAGUGCAAUAGCAUGAUCUUGGCUCACCACAACCUCUGCCUCCUGGGUUCAAGUGAUUCUCCUGCCUCAGCCGCCCAAGUAGCUGGAAUUACAGGU